CAUUUGCAUUUUUCAUUAGUACGGCGAGUGACAGGAAAAGCUCAAAGUUGGAACCUGUUUGGCCUAGCUAAACCGGAUUGUAAACUGUAGAAGUGUUUUCCAGGCAAGCCGGACCGAUAAGUCCUUUGGAACAGGGCAUCAUAGAGGGUGAGAAUCCCGUCUUCGGUCUGAGCAUUUGCCUUUUGCGAUACACUUUCAAAGAGUCAGGUUGUUUGGGAAUGCAGCCUAAAUUGGGUGGUAAAUCUCACCUAAAGCUAAAUAUUGGCGAGAAACCGAUAGCGAACAAGUACCGUGAGGGAAAGAUGAAAAGAACUUUGAAAAGAGAGUUAAACAGUAUGUGAAAUUGUUAAAAGGGAACCGUUUGGAGCCAGACUGGCUUGUCUGUAAUCAGUCUAAGCUUCGGCUUGGAUGCACUUGCAGGCUAUGCCUGCCAACGACAAUUUGGCUUGAGGGAAAAAACUAAGGGAAAUGUGGCCCAUCCGUGGGUGUUAUAGUCCCUUAGAAAAUACCUUGGGCUGGAUUGAGGUACGCAGCGAAUGCUAUUUGGCGAGUUGGCUGGGAAUAUUUUCUGAGGUGCUUUGGUACUGAGGUUGAUAUUCCUAGUUACACUUCUAUUCGCUUAGGUUGUUGGCUUAAUGACUCUAAAUGACCCGUCUUGAACACCGGGACAA
rnacentral:rRNA from 1 species